GAAAACAAAUUGAUUAUUGUUUACGAUUGGGAUGAAAAAAACAUUCAUCAAGCAGCCACUACUUUGGUCGAACGUGGCUACACAAACUUGAUUGUGCUUUCCGGAGGACUUAAAGUAGCUCAGGAAAAUUUUGGGAUGACGUUGAUAACACCUGAUUCUGGAGACGGAAAUAAAUUUACACCAGAAGAUGUAGAUUCGAUGCAAAAAACUCUCGACAUAAUAAUUAAAGAUCAAAAUAAAUACGCACGACUGUCAAUGUCUUCCACUGCAAGUGUACGAUCUCGGAGAUCCAUGUCUGAUGUUUCAUCAACUGCUUCUACUUUACGUACUCAAAGUGGUCGCAAUAAACAACAACGAAAUCAUUUUCGUGUUUAGUCUGG